GACGAACGCUGGCGGCGUGCUUAACACAUGCAAGUCGAACGGAAAGGCCCUGCUUUUGUGGGGUGCUCGAGUGGCGAACGGGGGAGUAACACGUGAGUAACCUGCCCUUGACUUUGGGAUAACUUCAGGAAACUGGGGCUAAUACCGGAUAGGAGCUCCUGCUGCAUGGGGGGGGUUGGAAAGUUUCGGCGGUUGGGGAUGGACUCGCGGCUUAUCAGCUUGUUGGUGGGGUAGUGGCUUACCAAGGCUUUGACGGGUAGCCGGCCUGGGAGGGUGACCGGCCACAUUGGGACUGAGAUACGGCCCAGACUCCUACGGGAGGCAGCAGUGGGGAAUAUUGCACAAUGGGCGGAAGCCUGAUGCAGCAACGCCGCGUGCGGGAUGACGGCCUUCGGGUUGUAAACCGCUUUCGCCUGUGACGAAGCGUGAGUGACGGUAAUGGGUAAAGAAGCACCGGCUAACUACGUG
rnacentral:rRNA from 1 species